GACGAACGCUGGCGGCGUGCUUAACACAUGCAAGUCGAACGGAAAGGCCCUGCUUUUGUGGGGUGCUCGAGUGGCGAACGGGUGAGUAACACGUGAGUAACCUGCCCUUGACUUUGGGAUAACUUCAGGAAACUGGGGCUAAUACCGGAUAGGAGCUCCUGCGGCAUGGUGGGGGUUGGAGAGUUUCGGCGGUUGGGGAUGGACUCGCGGCUUAUCAGCUUGUUGGUGGGGUAGUGGCUUACCAAGGCUUUGACGGGUAGCCGGCCUGAGAGGGUGACCGGCCACAUUGGGACUGAGAUACGGCCCAGACUCCUACGGGAGGCAGCAGUGGGGAAUAUUGCACAAUGGGCGGAAGCCUGAUGCAGCAACGCCGCGUGCUGGAUGACGGCCUUCGGGUUGUAAACCGCUUUCGCCUGUGACGAAGCGUGAGUGACGGUAAUGGGUAAAGAAGCACCGGCUAACUACGUG
rnacentral:rRNA from 1 species